rnacentral:snRNA from 1 species
CUAACAAAAUAGUCAUGGUUUCA